rnacentral:rRNA from 1 species
UGGGGAAUUUUGGACAAUGGGCGAAAGCCUGAUCCAGCCAUGCCGCGUGAGUGAAGAAGGCCUUCGGGUUGUAAAGCUCUUUCAGACGGAAAGAAAUCGCAUCUUCUAAUACAGGGUGUGGAUGACGGUACCGUAAGAAGAAGCACCGGCUAACUACGUG